rnacentral:rRNA from 1 species
UAGUUAGUGGCGGACGGGUGAGUAACGCGUGGGUAACCUGCCCCAUACCGGGGGAUACCACCUGGAAACAGGUGCUAAUACCGCAUAAGCGCACGGGAGCGCAUGCUCCUGUGUGAAAAACUCCGGUGGUAUGGGAUGGACCCGCGUCUGAUUAGCCAGUUGGCAGGGUAACGGCCUACCAAAGCGACGAUCAGUAGCCGGCCUGAGAGGGUGGACGGCCACAUUGGGACUGAGACACGGCCCAAACUCCUACGGGAGGCAGCAG